rnacentral:rRNA from 1 species
UAGAGUUUGAUCCUGGCUCAGGAUGAACGCUGGCGGCGUGCUUAACACAUGCAAGUCGAACGGUCGCAAGACAGUGGCGCACGGGUGAGUAACACGUAGCUAACCUGCCCUCGAGAGUGGGAUAACGCCCCGAAAGGGGUGCUAAUACCGCAUAAGCUCACACUUUGUAGAGAGGUGUGAGAAAAGGCGAAAGCCGCUUGAGGAGGGGGCUGCGGCCCAUCAGCUAGAUGGUAGGGUAACGGCCUACCAUGGCGACGACGGGUAGGGGGUCUGAGAGGAUGGUCCCCCACACUGGGACUGAGACACGGCCCAGACUCCUACGGGAGGCAGCAGUGAGGAAUAUUGCACAAUGGGGGAAACCCUAAUGCAGCGACGCCGCGUGGGUGAUGAAGGUCUUCGGAUCGUAAAACCCUUUUCUAGAUGACGAGAACGGACGGUAGUCUAGGAAUAAGCCUCGGCUAACUACGUGCCAGCAGCCGCGGUAAAACGUAGGAGGCGAGCGUUAUCCGGAGUUACUGGGCGUAAAGCGCAUGUAGGCGGUUGCACAAGUUGCGUGUGAAAGCUCCCGGCUAAACUGGGAGAGGACACGUAAGACUGUGCGGCUGGAGGAUGGUAAGGGGCGUGGAAUUCCGGGUGUAGCGGUGAAAAUGUGUAGAGAUCCGGAGGAACACCAUGGCGCAAGCGACCGCCCUGGGGCCAUACCUUGACGCUGAGAUGCGAAAGCGUGGGGAGCGAACGGGAUUAGAGACCCCGGUAGUCCACCCGUAAACGAUGCUUGCUAGUUGUUCACUCGCAAGAGGGAGUGCCGAAGCUAACGCGAUAAGCAACCGCCUGGGGAGUACGGUCGCAAGGCUAAAACUCAAAGGAAUUGACGGGGGCCCGCACAAGCAGCGGAGCGUGUGGUUUAAUUCGAGGCUACACGAAGAACCUUACCUGGGCUUGACAUACGUGUGGUAGGGAACCGAAAGGGGACCGACCUUCGGGAGCACGUACAGGUGCUGCAUGGCUGUCGUCAGCUCGUGUCGUGAGAUGUUCGGUUAAGUCCGAAAACGAGCGCAACCCUCGGAAGUAGUUACACGUGUNUACUUCGACUGCCCGUGAGAAACGGGAGGAAGGUGGGGAUGACGUCAAGUCAGCAUGGCCUUUAUGUCCAGGGCUACACACACGCUACAAUGGCCAGUACAAUGGGACGCAAGACCGCGAGGUGGAGCCAAUCCAGAAAGCUGGUCGUAGUUCGGAUUGCAGGCUGCAACCCGCCUGCAUGAAGUCGGAGUUGCUAGUAACCGCGCGUCAGCCAUAGUGCGGUGAAUACGUUCCCGGGCCUUGUACACACCGCCCGUCACGUCAUGGGAGCUGGUCACGCCUGAAGCCGGCGAGCUAACCGCAAGGAGGCAGCCGUCGAAGGCAGGGCUGGUGACUGGGACGAAGUCGUAACAAGGUAGCUGUAGCGGAAGCUGCGGCUGGAUCACCUCCU